rnacentral:rRNA from 1 species
UACGUAGGUGGCAAGCGUUGUCCGGAAUUAUUGGGCGUAAAGCGCGCGCAGGCGGUCCUUUAAGUCUGAUGUGAAAGCCCACGGCUCAACCGUGAAGGGUCAUUGGAAACUGGGGGACUUGAGUACAGAAGAGAAGAGUGGAAUUCCACGUGUAGCGGUGAAAUGCGUAGAGAUGUGGAGGAACACCAGUGGCGAAGGCGACUCUUUGGUCUGUAACUGACGCUGAGGCGCGAAAAGCGUGGGGGAGCAAACAGG